rnacentral:rRNA from 1 species
CCUACGGGCGGCAGCAGUGGGGAAUAUUGCACAAUGGGGGAAACCCUGAUGCAGCGACGCCGCGUGAGUGAAGAAGUAAUUCGGUAUGUAAAGCUCUAUCAGCAGGGAAGAAAAUGACGGUACCUGAGUAAGAAGCCCCGGCUAACUACGUGCCAGCAGCCGCGGUAAUACGUAGGGGGCAAGCGUUAUCCGGAUUUACUGGGUGUAAAGGGAGCGUAGACGGCAGUGCAAGUCUGGAGGGAAAGGCGGGGGCUCAACCCCCGGACUGCUCUGGAAACUGUACGGCUGGAGUGCAGGAGAGGUAAGUGGAAUUACUAGUGUAGCGGUGAAAUGCGUAGAUAUUAGGAGGAACACCAGUGGCGAAGGCGGCUUACUGGACUGUAACUGACGUUGAGGCUCGAAAGCGUGGGGAGCAAACAGGAUUAGAUACCCCAGUAGUC